rnacentral:tRNA from 1 species
GCCCACAUAGCUCAGCAGGUAGAGCACAUCCAUGGUAAGGAUGGGGUCGUUGGUUCAAUUCCAAUUGUGGGCUCCA